rnacentral:rRNA from 1 species
CACAAUGGAACUGAAACACGGUCCAUACACCUACGGGUGGCAGCAGUAGGGAAUAUUGGUAAUGUGCGAAAGCGCGAACCAACAACGCCGCGUGUGCGAAGACGGACUUCCGGGUUGUAAAGCACUUUUCGGGAGGAAGAGGAAGGACUGUACUCCCGGAAUAAGGUCUCGCCUAACUACGUGCCAGCAGACGCGGUAAUACCGUAGGAGGCAAACGUAAUCCGGAUUUACUGGGCGUAAAGCGCGUGCAGGCUGUUCAAUAAGUUGGGCGUGAAAGCUCCCGGCUCAACUGGGAGAGGUCGUUCAAUACUGUUGGACUAGAGGAUGGUAGAGGAAGGUGGAAUUCCGGGUGUAGUGGUGAAAUGCGCAGAUAUCCGGAGGAACACCAGUGGCGAAAGCGGCCUUCUGGACCAUUCCUGACGCUCAGACGCGAAAGCUAGGGUAGCGAACGGGAUUAGAGACCCCGGUAGUCCUAGCUGUAAACGAUGUGAACUUGGCGUCGGUGGGAUUAAAUCCAUCGGUGUCGUAGCUAACGCGAUAAGUUCACCGCCUGAGGACUACGGCCGCAAGGUUAAAACUCAAAGGAAUUGACGGGGACCCGCACAAGCAGCGGAGCGUGUGGUUUAAUUCGUUGCUACACGAAGAACCUUACCUGGGUUUGACAUAUAGGUUGUAGGGAACUGAAAAGGGACCGACCCUUCGGGGAGCCUAUACAGGUGUUGCAUGGCUGUCGUCAGCUCGUGUCGUGUGAUGUUCGGUUAAGUCCGCUAACGAGCGCAACCCUCGCCGUAUGUUAUACGUGUCAUACGGGACUGCCGGUAAUAAGCCGGAGGAAGGUGGGGAUGAUGUCAAGUCAGCAUGACCUUUAUAUCCAGGGCUACACACACGCUACAAUGGUCUGUACAAUGGGUAGCCAAGCCGCGAGGCGGAGCCAAUCCUGAAAGCAGGCCUCAGUUCAGAUUGCAGUCUGCAACCCGACUGCAUGAAGCCGGAGUUGCUAGUAACCGCAGGUCAGCAAUACUGCGGUGAAUACGUUCCCGGGUCUUGUACACACCGCCCGUCACGUCAUGGAAGCUGGCAACGCCUGAAGUCGGUAUCCUAACCCUCACGGGAAGGAGCCGCCU